rnacentral:rRNA from 1 species
GAUGAACGCUAGCGGGAGGCCUAACACAUGCAAGCCGAGCGGUAGAAGAUCUUCGGAUCUUUGAGAGCGGCGUACGGGUGCGGAACACGUAUGCAACCUACCUUUAUCAGGGGGAUAGCCUUUCGAAAGGAAGAUUAAUACCCCAUAAUAUAUUGAUUGGCAUCAGUUAAUAUUGAAAACUCCGGUGGAUAGAGAUGGGCACGCGCAAGAUUAGAUAGUUGGUAGGGUAACGGCCUACCAAGUCAGUGAUCUUUAGGGGGCCUGAGAGGGUGAUCCCCCACACUGGUACUGAGACACGGACCAGACUCCUACGGGAGGCAGCAGUGAGGAAUAUUGGACAAUGGGUGAGAGCCUGAUCCAGCCAUCCCGCGUGAAGGACGACGGCCCUAUGGGUUGUAAACUUCUUUUGUAUAGGGAUAAACCUACUCUCGUGAGAGUAGCUGAAGGUACUAUACGAAUAAGCACCGGCUAACUCCGUGCCAGCAGCCGCGGUAAUACGGAGGGUGCAAGCGUUAUCCGGAUUUAUUGGGUCUAAAGGGUCCGUAGGCGGAUCUGUAAGUCAGUGGUGAAAUCUCAUAGCUUAACUAUGAAACUGCCAUUGAUACUGCAGGUCUUGAGUAAAGUAGAAGUGGCUGGAAUAAGUAGUGUAGCGGUGAAAUGCAUAGAUAUUACAUAGAACACCAAUUGCGAAGGCAGGUCACUAUGUUUUAACUGACGCUGAUGGACGAAAGCGUGGGGAGCGAACAGGAUUAGAUACCCUGGUAGUCCACGCCGUAAACGAUGCUAACUCGUUUUUGGGCUUUAGGGUUCAGAGACUAAGCGAAAGUGAUAGGUUAGCCACCUGGGGAGUACGUUCGCAAGAAUGAAACUCAAAGGAAUUGACGGGGGCCCGCACAAGCGGUGGAUUAUGUGGUUUAAUUCGAUGAUACGCGAGGAACCUUACCAAGGCUUAAAUGGGAAUUGACAGGUUUAGAAAUAGACUUUUCUUCGGACAAUUUUCAAGGUGCUGCAUGGUUGUCGUCAGCUCGUGCCGUGAGGUGUUAGGUUAAGUCCUGCAACGAGCGCAACCCCUGUCACUAGUUGCCAUCAUUCAGUUGGGGACUCUAGUGAGACUGCCUACGCAAGUAGAGAGGAAGGUGGGGAUGACGUCAAAUCAUCACGGCCCUUACGCCUUGGGCCACACACGUAAUACAAUGGCCAGUACAGAGGGCAGCUACCAGGCGACUGGAUGCGAAUCUCGAAAGCUGGUCUCAGUUCGGAUUGGAGUCUGCAACUCGACUCUAUGAAGCUGGAAUCGCUAGUAAUCGCAUAUCAGCCAUGAUGCGGUGAAUACGUUCCCGGGCCU